rnacentral:misc_RNA from 1 species
GCGCAACAACUUCCACCNGGCUUACCUUUUCAGUCUUGUGUCAUUGCUUGUAUCGCAUUGAAUGCAUGGUGGGUUUCUUGUGUUGCAUGCCUAAUUGAUGGUAUCAUUUCAAGAAUUGAUGUCCCUUUUCAUCUUGUGUCGCACAUGCGAUGUGAGAUGAACCUUGAAGUAGCCUUUGUGAUCCACUCUUUCGAUGUACACGCAUUGAUUUUGUGGCCCACUGUGUGUUGCUUGGUCUCAUGGAUAUGGAACCUGGUGUGGGCAUGGGAUCUUUACUAGUUCCUUGUUUGCCCUGGUUUAGCUUUUCUAAUACACGAUUGUUUAUCACAUUUUAUAAUGUGGUAGGCUAUAUCGGAUAUGAGUGCUACCUGGUUGAUCCUGCC